rnacentral:lncRNA from 1 species
GCGCGGCCGGUCGGGGCCGCGGGGCGGGCGGGCUCCCACGUGCGCCGGCGGGGCUCCCCGGCGGCCCAACACGCCCAGAGCGAGCGGGUCGGGGGCGCCCGCGGACACGCCCGGGCCGGCUGCCGGCGAGCGGAGCGCGGGGCCACGCGGCGCGCUGGGGGGGGGGGGGGGGGCGGGGGCGGGGGCGAGGCCCGGGGCGCCGGGGUCCCGCGGCGGCCGCCCUCCCGGUCCUCUUCCCCCGCGGCCGCCGCCGCCGCCGCCGCCGCCGCGCAGGCCCCGCCCCCCCCGCCCGCCAACCGAGUCAGCGGUUCGCGCCGCCGCGCCGCGAUUGGCCGGCCCGACGCGCCGCGUCACAAUGGAGCCGGUCGGAGGCGGCGAGCCCGGCAGCGCCGGGGCUUCCCGCUGAGCCCGCCGCGGCCGGCAGCCGGGACCGAGCCCGCGGGGCGGCGUCCGGGGGCGCGGGGCACGCGGCGGGGAGCGCGGGCGCCCGGGGCCGGGGUCGCGCAGGCAGGUAGGUCGCGGCGGGGCGCCCCCCGCUGGCGGCGGCGGAGCCCGGGGCGCGGGGCGCGGGGCGCGGGGCGCAGCAGGUGGGGCCGCGCGCAGGUGCGAGGCUCACCUGCGGCUCGAGCCGGGCCUGCGGGCAGGUGGCGCGGCGGCGCGGCUGCCCGGGCGCCCCCGGAGAGCGGGAGCGAGCCCCCUCCCCGAGAAGGGGCGCCGCCGGGUGCCGGGGUCGUUCGGGCGACGGGGCGGGCGGCCGCGGCCAGGAGGGCCCCUGGGUGUCCGCGCCGCCGCGGGGUCCGGGCGCCGCCGCUGGUCCGGGCGCGGUGCGGGGCGCGGGGCGGGGCCGGACGGGGGCGAGCGCACCUCUCCCGGGGGCGCCCGCCCGGCCCCCCGCCCCCUCCCGCCCCGGCGCUGCUGCCGCCGCCGCUGCCCGGACCCCGGGUCCCCGCGUCUGACGGCGCUGGCGCUGCUCCCCUGCCGGGAAGGGCGCGGCGGGGGCGACCUCUGCCCACGCGGGGAAGCCAGCACUGUCCUCCCGGGCUCCCGGGCUCCAGGCGAGCAGGUCCCGAGAGGUCAGAGGUGCUGGCUCGUGACUCUGUCCCAACUGACUUCCCAAAGUCCAUAGGUUGCCUCCAGUCAGAUGACAUUUGUGGAAGACUUGCGCUUGGUGCAAGAAAGACUCUCCGCGACCCCCUUUCCCUUCCCAAGAAAAGGAAAUUUCGAAACAGAACCCUGCGCCUGAACUUUCUCCAAUACGUCUGCCUUGCCUGA